UCAAAUUUAGCUACAUUUAGUCUAAGUAACUGUUUCUUGCAAAAAUUGAUAAAAAAACAUUCUUGUCUUUUCAGGUGCAUGCCUAUCAGUACUAGAAGCAACAAGUAACAUGCACUUCUCUUUUCAGAUCCUGCACUUCUAGAACGCACCAUCCGCAAAGAAAAAUGUAACACAUUGGUCGAUAACAACACCUGCUCGUCGAACGACACUCGCCU
rnacentral:lncRNA from 1 species